rnacentral:rRNA from 1 species
GAUGAACGCUGGCGGCGUGCCUAAUACAUGCAAGUCGAGCGAACAGACGAGGAGCUUGCUCCUCUGACGUUAGCGGCGGACGGGUGAGUAACACGUGGAUAACCUACCUAUAAGACUGGGAUAACUUCGGGAAACCGGAGCUAAUACCGGAUAAUAUAUUGAACCGCAUGGUUCAAUAGUGAAAGACGGUUUUGCUGUCACUUAUAGAUGGAUCCGCGCCGCAUUAGCUAGUUGGUAAGGUAACGGCUUACCAAGGCAACGAUGCGUAGCCGACCUGAGAGGGUGAUCGGCCACACUGGAACUGAGACACGGUCCAGACUCCUACGGGAGGCAGCAGUAGGGUAUCUUCCGCAAUGGGCGAAAGCCUGACGGAGCAACGCCGCGUGAGUGAUGAAGGUCUUCGGAUUGUAAAACUCUGUUAUUAGGGAAGAACAAAUGUGUAAGUAACUAUGCACGUCUUGACGGUACCUAAUCAGAAAGCCACGGCUAACUACGUG